rnacentral:rRNA from 1 species
CCUGUUCCCAUUCCGAACACAGAAGUUAAGCUCUCUAGCGCUGAUGGUACUUGGUGGGAAACUGCCUGGGAGAGUAGGACGUAGCCACGU